CCCUUAGAUGUCCUGGGCCGCACGCGCGCUACACUGAACGGAUCAGCGCGUUUUCCCUUCCCGAGAGGGACGGGUAACCUGCUGAACCCCGUUCGUGGUAGGGAUCGGGGCUUGCAAUUAUUCCCCGUGAACCAGGAAUGCCCAGUAAGUGCAAGUCAUAAGCUUGCGUUGAUUACGUCCCUGCCCUUUGUACACACCGCCCGUCGCACCUACUGAUUGGAUGACUCGGUGAAAAAUUGGGACUAUGAGAGAUACUGCUUAAUUGCGGCAUUUUUUAUGGGAACUUUUUUAAACCUCGUUAUCUAGAAGAAGGUGAAGUCGUAACA
rnacentral:rRNA from 1 species